UGCUUGGGGAACUCACACACCAGUUUUUAGUCCAUUUCUAUAUCAACUAGUUCCUAUGCUGGAGCUUUUUCAUGAAUGAAGACAAAGCUUCCUGUUCAAGGCCUAUUAACCUGUUUGGUUUCCCAACUAUUAAAUGCAAUAAAAUGAGGUGAAGGGCAGGAUAAAUGUAGGAAUAUUUUGGCAGCUGUGCUUCUCGAUGCGUUUCAGUCAUCUCAUUUAAUGUGUGUACCAGUUACAGAUACUACUACUUUUUCUAAAACAACAGAUAGCGGAUACCUGAUGGAAUUAAUUUGUAGGCGCAUAGAGAAUUUGGAUUUCUGUAACUAGGCUGUGCCCUGGGGCAGCUCUUCAGUAGGAGCCCUUCGUGGUGUUACACUUGAGGUAAAUAAGGCUUCUGUAAUCUGAACAGUAAAUUUCAUGUUUGCUAAUAUAUAGCAGACAUUCAAAACUGGGGGCAAUGAGAGGGUGCUAUUGUCAAACUCCGGUUGUGGAGAUGAGUAUUGUUUUCUAGUUGCACUUUUAGGUGAUACUAUGGCAUUCUAGUUGCUCUUACCUGCAGGGUGGGUAAGAAUCCCUAACUCCUUAAUAGGGUGUAUAUAUAAGAAAAUAAGCUGCUGAAAAUAAUCCCUCAACACUUCAAAAUCUUAGACAUAGAUCAAGAACAUGAAGACCUUUGAUGUCCACAUUGUUAGUUUGUUCACUGUACAAAUGGACAGUUGCAAAGGACAGUAGGGAUUUUGGUGUAAGACACUCUAUAAGAGUAUUGUAACUUCCCAAUAAUAAGAUAAUUCCUCUCUCUAGCCUUGUAUUGUUUUUAAAUUCAGAGCAGUGUUGGCAGGUAAAUUGAUUUUGAGAUUAAAAAACCCAAACCAACAAACAACAACAAAACCCAAACCAAACCACAAAGCCAUAAAUGAGAGCCCUCUUUAAUACAGAGUUCUAUCUUAUCCAGUGCACAGACUUUAUAUUAGCAAGGAAGAUUUAAUAAGCCUAAUGGAUGUCUUCAAACAAAUGCAGUAAUGUUAGAGCCAGCUUGUUCACCCUGUGAUGUGAUAGAGGCUAUCCAUACUGAGUCAUGGUUGUCUGUAAAUGCAGGUUACAUAGAGGAAGGCUUAAGAAGAUGCUGGCUUAGUGAGUCCAAGAUGUUCAAAACAAGCUAGGGACUACUGAUACCUAUAAACCAGCACAACGGCUGUUGUACCUGAAAACCAGGUAAGAACAGCCACUUCUUAAUAGUCAGCUUUAUGCAGUAACUUUGGGUUUGAUUUGCCUGGCUUUUCAGAACUCAUUUCAGAAACUCUUCCAGUACAGGUCCGCUCUGAUGACAGCAGCCAUCCCAGUUGUUGUGCAUCUUUACUGAGCUCUUCCAAUCUUGAUGUAUGCUAUAAUGCCAAACUUUGAGGGCAGCUUUUUCAAGCCAAGAUUCAUUCUUCCAUUGGACUGAAUGGAAUUUGCUUUAAUGCAAACAAAUAGCAUGCUCAGUACACUGUUUUUGUAGUGUAAGACAGAUUUGCCUGUUCUUGAUCUCAGUAGGAAUGCAUCAAUCUCUGCAGUAGGUUUCCCCCUUUUUAAAUACAGCUUCAGCUAAAUAUCACUGUACAGUCAAGUUUCUUUAAAUUACUCAAUGCCUACUAAUGCUGCUUCAAAGACAGAUGCUGUACAUGCCAGCUUACAUUCGGUGCUGGAAGGCUCAGAUACCUUUGUCUCCUGGAUCUUAAAGCAGCGGGAAUAAAUAUUUAGGGCACCCAGUUUCCCCCAUUUUAAAGAGUAGCCUUCACUGAUGAUGUCACGUGUGCUGCCAGUGUUGGGAAGAAAUUCCCACCUUUGCUAAGCUGGUCAGCACAGAUGAAGGCCCCUCAGAAAGCAUAGCUGCUUCUCUUCUGGGUUUGCUGCUUCAGCCCCUGCUUUCUGACCAUUAAAAUCAAAAUGCUCUUACCUGAGAGUUGAUACGACAUCUCACUGGCAUUGAUGAUGGGGAGAGAUGAGAGAGGACAGGAGAAGCCAAUAAUAAUGAGACAGCAGAAUACCAGCUUAUGCAUCGUUGCUGUGUUGGAUGGAUCUCGUCUUUGCCUACUCCUGUAUCUCCAAACUCCUGUCUGUUGCCUCUGCUCCCUGUUUCACCCGUUAUAUAGCCGCUCAUGACCUCAUAAAUAUCAUCAUGUUCUCUCCCCCCUUCAGAAGAAAAAAAUCCAAUGAAUUUAUUGCCCAUUGAUUCUAAAUGGAAACCACUUUGCAUUGAUGUAAUUUUUCAAGGUAACAGUUCAUAGACAAUAAAUUUACUGUCUUAUAGCUUGGUGUACAAAAUGGAUAUUAUAUCAAACCAAGCACAGUAAAGUUUAUAAAUCUGGCAUUAAAAAAAAAAAGUAACUUCCAGUUAUAAAUCAUGAGUUAACAAAAGGGUCAGACAUUAGUUGAAAUGACCAGGGCAAUCAGACAGCUGAUUUAUGAGCCUUAGCAGCCUUGACGCAAAGCAUCUGAUAUGAAAUUCACUUUUUUUUUUCUUCUUGGGAGAUGGAUGGAUGUGUUGUGUUGUAUUUGGGGUUCUUGUGCCAGAAAAAGUACAAGAGAAGGGGAGUUAAAAUAUUGAGUUAAUUUACAAAGGGAAUGGAAGGGGAGUUUGAUUUCUGAGCUCCCUGAGCCCCCCAGAGCAUUUCACAUCUAUUUAUUUGAGAAGACCUCAUCCAAUGUUGCCCUAGAGAACUGUCUUGGCAGAGAAAGCACAGCUUCCAUCUGGAGACUUGCUUGGUACAUAUAAACUACUUUGGCUGAUAUUAAACAGAGGUCCCUCGCUAGACUGGGAGACCCUUUUCCAUUUUGCUUAUCUUCUCUUUCCCCCAUUGGAACUAACUACCUAAUUCUGUGUGUGUUAGCUAAGGGUUUUUGAACUUUUUCAGCUUUUGCUUUUUUUUUAAUGCUAGCACAGUAGUUGCUGUAUGUAAUCUCAAACUUUAGUCUUCAUUUCCCUCCAUCUAGCAUAUUUUGUCUUCUCUACUUACUAUUUAGUAUCAAAGAGAGAAGACUAACUGGACUGGUCCCUCAUCUUCAUUCUCUGUGAAGCAUCAUAUCCAACUGUAUAGAGCCUUGGAUGGAAGGAUGCUCAGCCAUCUGUUCCUGAUGCAGAGCUAAGACAAACCUGUGGGAUGGAGAACCUCCUUUGAUAGACUCUGAAGAGAGCACUGGAUCAGGGAAGGCUUGUUCACAGCUGAGAGUAACUGAGAACUCCACCUGACAUCACCCGGGCCUCUGCACAGUCUGGCUAAGAGGCCAUUUUCUGACUUCCAAGAAAAACAAAUGGAAAUGCAAAAACUUGCAUCUGGCCUGUUACCUCAUCCCCAACCACCCAGGUGGUUUCGGAGUCAUCCUGGCAUUCCUGGUUCCUUUUUCACUUGCUAUAUAAUGAAUAAUAAAGAUUAUUGAGACACGUACAGAAAGCGGACAACGCUUGAAGCUCAGUUAGAAGGACUGAUCCUGCAUUAUUUCCACAUGAACUGGUAAGUUUGUUCAGGUAUUAAAGAAUCUGUUCAAUAAAAGCUCCUGUGAAGCCAAGGUGCAUGUCUGAAUUAUCCACAUAAUCCCUUGCUUGAUGGGAGGAUUGCUCCUGAUGUUUUACUCAGAAUGUAUUUCCUUUCUGUGAAUGACUGUCCCUUGAAAGAGUUCAGAAAGCCAGUUUUGGUGUAAAUGUGUCCCUUAUUCUCAGAAAUCAGUCUGCACUACUCAGGAUGUUUUGGUUUCUCUUCCACAGGCUUUGUUUUGAUUCUUGGAAUUUUAGGCAACUCCUGAAGCUUUGGUAUAAAACAGCAAGAUCAAACUGUCUGGAAAAGCUGUUGUAAUGAGCACCUCACUGUUCAGUAAGUACCUUAACUUUGCUUCAAGUAGAGGAAAGGAGAAAAAAAAGGGGUCUGUACUGUCUUUGGAGCAUUUCAAAAUAUAUACAGAAAGCACUAACAAAAUGUAGAAUUCCAACUGCUGUCUCUCCUUUCCAAGGAGAAAACACUGGAUGUUUCAGUAUUUUUAUAGGACGUAGACAUCAAUUCUCAUACCUUUUGUGUGGAUUAGGAACUGUUCACAAGCAGAACUGUUUUAUCCUAUUCUAAGAUAUUGUCCACUGGUGCAAAGGUUGCUUGUGUGUCCUGUUCAUGUCUUUAGGUUUGUGAACUUGACAUUAAUAGUCACUUAGUUCUCAUGGUUGCAGGUGCUAAUGAAGAGAAGACUUGGGCUAGGGAUAAAAAGUUCAGGCUUCAAUAUGAUAUUUUCUGACAUACGGUCUUAUAUUUACUGUAUACAAGUUUAUCAGAAUAUGGAAGUGUGGUCUGAUGAAACUAAUCUGCUAUUGUAAUCUGCUGCUGUGUGGAGAGAUGGGCUGUCAUUCUUCAAACACAAGAACAGCGUUCUCCAA